rnacentral:rRNA from 1 species
UGUCUUUUUGAAAAUAAUAUAAAGUCUAAUCUGCCCACUGAUUAAAUAAUUAAAGGGCUGCAGUAUAUUGACUGUACAAAGGUAGCAUAAUCAUUAGUCAUUUAAUUGGUGACUUGUAUGAAGGAUUUGAUGAAAUAUAAACUGUCUCUUAUUUAAUUAUAAAAUUUAAUUUUUUUAUUAAAAAGUUAAAAUAUUUUAAAAAGACGAGAAGACCCUAUAGAGUUUAAUAAAUUAUUAGAUUGAGAUUAUAUGUAAAACAAAUUUAAAAUAAAAUUAUUUAUUUUGUUGGGGUGACAAAAAAAUACAUUAAACUUUUUUUUAUUUAAAAACAUUUAUAAGUGAAUAAGUGAUCCAAUAAUAUUGAUUAUGAGAAAAAAUUACCUUAGGGAUAACAGCGUAAUUUUUUUUUUUAGUUCAAAUAAGAAAAAGAGUUUGCGACCUCGAUGUUGGAUUAAGAUAAAAUUUAAAUGUAGAAG